GACGAACGCUGGCGGCGUGCUUAACACAUGCAAGUCGAACGGAAAGGCCGUGCUUCUGUGGGUUGCUCGGGUGGCGAACGGGUGAGUAACACGUGAGUAACCUGCCCUUGACUUUGGGAUAACUUCAGGAAACUGGGGCUAAUACCGGAUAGGAGCUCCUGCGGCAUGGCGGGGGUUGGAAAGUUUCGGCGGUGGUGGAUGGACGCGCGGCUUAUGAGCUUGUUGUUGGGGUAGUGACUGACCACGGCGUUGACGGGUAGCCGGACGGAGAGGGUGACCGGCCGCCAUGGUGCUGAGAUACGGCCGCGACUACUACGGGGGGCAGCAGUGGGGAAGAUUGCACAAUGGGCGGAAGCCUGAUGCCGCAACGCCGCGGGCGGGAUGAAGGCCUUCGGGGUGUAAACCGCUUUCGCCUGUGACGAAGCGGGAGUGACGGUAAUGGGUAAAGAAGCACCGGCUAACUACGUG
rnacentral:rRNA from 1 species